GACAGAGGGUGCAAACGUUUGUUCGGAAUUACUGGGCGUAAAGCGCGUGUAGGCUGCUCGGAAAGUCGGAUGUGAAAGCCCUGGGCUUAACCUAGGAAGUGCAUUCGAAACUUCCGAGCUGGAGUGCUGGAGAGGAAGGCGGAAUUCUCGGUGUAGAGGUGAAAUUCGUAGAUAUCGAGAGGAACACCGGUGGCGAAGGCGGCCUUCUGGACAGUCACUGACGCUGAGACGCGAAAGCGUGGGGAGCAAACGGG
rnacentral:rRNA from 1 species